AUUGAACGCUGGCGGCAUGCUUUACACAUGCAAGUCGAACGGUAACAGGCCGCAAGGUGCUGACGAGUGGCGAACGGGUGAGUAAUGCAUCGGAACGUGCCCAGUCGUGGGGGAUAACGCAGCGGAAGCUGUGCUAAUACCGCAUACGAUCUAUGGAUGAAAGCGGGGGACCGUAAGGCCUCGCGCGAUUGGAGCGGCCGAUGUCAGAUUAGGUAGUUGGUGGGGUAAAGGCUCACCAAGCCAACGAUCUGUAGCUGGUCUGAGAGGACGACCAGCCACACUUGGACUGAGACACGGCCCAGACCCCUACGGGAGGCAGCAGUGGGGAAUUUUGGACAAUGGGCGCAAGCCUGAUCCAGCAAUGCCGCGUGCAGGAAGAAGGCCUUCGGGUUGUAAACUGCUUUUGUACGGAACGAAAAGGUUUGGGUUAAUACCCUGGGCCGAUGACGGUACCGUAAGAAUAAGCACCGGCUAACUACGUGCCAGCCGCCGCGGUAA
rnacentral:rRNA from 1 species